CAGCCGCGGUAAUACGGAGGGUGCAAGCGUUAAUCGGAAUUACUGGGCGUAAAGCGCACGCAGGCGGUUUGUUAAGUCAGAUGUGAAAUCCCCGGGCUCAACCUGGGAACUGCAUCUGAUACUGGCAAGCUUGAGUCUCGUAGAGGGGGGUAGAAUUCCAGGUGUAGCGGUGAAAUGCGUAGAGAUCUGGAGGAAUACCGGUGGCGAAGGCGGCCCCCUGGACGAAGACUGACGCUCAGGUGCGAAAGCGUGGGGAGCAAACAGGAU
rnacentral:rRNA from 1 species